AAACAGUGCCGGCCACCUAAAAGAGAACUGUAAUUCUCUCUCGCCUUGUCGUUCCCGUUAACCAAAUUGGCAAAUUCGCCACUCUCCCACCUUCGCGAAGCUCUUCAGAACCAAUGUCGAACCUCUUCGUGCUUUCUCUCUCCCUGUUCGUGGUCCCUCUUCGUGUUCCAUAAACUUUUUGGGGGGAAAAGCUAGGGUUUGAAGACUUGGAAUUAGGGUUUUGAUGAAAAUUAUCAGGCUUGGUUAGAAAGGAAUGACGUGGGCUUUGAAAUCAGUUUGAUUAUGGUAUAGGAUUGAAAUUUUCCGAGGCUCAUUGUAAUGACAGAUUGUCUCCUAGCCUCACCAAGUAACACGUUGGUUGCUAAAGUAUUGCCUUUGGAGAUCCCUUGUACUACUUUUAAGUACUUUCCUUUACAAAGAGGCUGAUAUGAUUAUAUGUAUCUAAAAGUAAAAAUGACAACCGUAAAACAUUUUGACUUCGAUUUUUUGUGGGGGCAUCAUUUGGAGUAUUCAGGUGAUUUUGUUGUCCCACAUUUGGCAGUAUGAAAAUGCGAUUCGAUUAUAUGUGUAUUGAUGUUAAUUUUAUAGUUGAGGAGGUAUCCUGCUUCAAAUGGUUUCCUAUGUAGGCUUCUUUAUCUCUGGAUCAAAAUUACAUCACUAAGUGAAAUGGCCCCAUUGAUUGGUAGGGUGAUGGUAUUCAUCUGUUUUAUGGAAAUGUAUUACUUGUAGCUUGUCAUUAUGGGAUAUCCCUGCUAAGUUGAGUAACUUAACUGGAUUAGUUUCUGGAGAAGCUAUCUCUGCAGUUUUGUUUAUUGUGAUGGAUGGAAUUUUACCUAAGGCGAAUGCCUGGAAUGGUUGCAUAAGUUCUCGACCUAUUUCAUCAGUUUUAUGUAAAGAGCUAGUUUUUUGGUGAAACUAUUACUUGCUAAGAAUGGUAUAAAGGGCAAUGUAUGUGUUUUAUGGCUAGAAUAAAUAAGUAAUGCUUGUCCUCCCAUAUUUCCUAAUACAUCACAAGAGUCUAACUCCUUUAUUUUGCUAUUGCCCUUGCUUGUUUUAUAGCAUAAGCGAAGUUUUUGGAUAGGGGAGCAGAAUCUUUUCCAUUUUUCUUCAUUUCUUCACCGGGCUAAAAAUAGAACGAAAUGAUCCUCUUUUCUUUUCGUGGCUCUUAUAAAAUGGAGAUGCCGAGAUUGAAGUUUUCCCAUGGUUACAUGACUUGCUUCUGACAAGUAUUAAAGUAAUUGCAGGAUUAUGUCCCAUCUUUUCUUUGUACUUAAUUGCAGCGAGUAGUUAUUUAAUGUUGAAACCCAUUUGAACGAAAUAGUUUUUUGAAGGGUUAUUUUUAAGGUUCUAGUGGUAGUGUCUCUUUGUGGUUUACGGAAAGUUCUAUUCUGAACCAGUUCUUGGAAUAUUUGUCUAAUUGUCGAGAGGAAGAUUUGUAGCGGAGUUUGUGAUGUGAUAUUUGUUAAGGAACUGAAUAUAGUUUCUACGAUUUGUGCAGAUUCAAACAGAUUUUUCUAGUUGAAAUUAUUUUAGCCUUUUGUCACCUGUUUAACUAGUUGAAAAUUAUUCUGAUGAAAAUAUCUUGUUUGGAAGAGUUAUUCGAAGUUGUUUUAGAAGAUAUGUACAUGAGAUUAUCGUGGUUGUGUUUAUAUCGAGGUUCAUUGAGAGAUUUACUUUGACAAUGUUCUUGGAGAAUUUGUGCAAAUAUUAUGAGGAAUACAGAUAGGCAAGUUUAGAUGCUUAUUAUUGUAUAAGAUAUUUGGGGCCUAAGUAAUAGUGGUUUGUUUGCUUUUGAGGUUCUAGGCAUGGAAUUAUUGUUUAUCUUGUUAAGACGCGAAGUAUUUUGUAUCAGGCAACUCUGAGAAAACAUGGGAAGCUAACAACAUCCGUUUUUUAUGGCUAUAAUCGUAUUUGAUUUGUGGUUUAAAUGAUGUUGAAUUAAGUUGUGAAAGCUUGUUGAGAACUGAUGUUUUUUUUUAUCGGAGUUUGUGAGAAGAAUUUUGUCUCCUUUGUGAGGACAUUUAUCUUUAAAAAUUGAUUUUAACUAUUAGUUACUUAUUUAACUUGUUGAAACCCAUCUUAAGUAUUUAACGAAAUAGUUUUUUAGAAGGGUUAUUUAUAAGGUUCUAGUGGCAGUGUCUCUUUGCGGUUUAUGUGAAGUUCUAUUCUUUAAGAGUUCUAGGAGCAUUUGUGUAAGUUUUUAGAGGAUCACCAAUGGCAAGCUUUUCAUGUUUUAAGGUUUAUUAUUGUGUGAGAUAUGAUGAGCAAUGUUAUGAACGGAGAGGAAUUUGUGUAGGCAGGUUUAUCAUGUUUUGAUGGUUAUUAUUGUAUGAGAUAUUUGGGAUUUAAGUGAUGAAUAGUAUUAACUAAAGGAGAAAUUGUGGUUUAUUUUUAUUUUUAUUUUUACUUUUAAUUUUUGGUUCUAGUGAUUGAAUUUAUUAUUUGGCAGAUGGAGAUUGAAAUCGUACUUGAGUUGUAUUAUUAAGUCUUUGAAAGUAUUUCGUAUUAGUCAACUUUAAGAAAUUGGGUUGCCAAGAGGAUCUGAUUUUUGGUUUCUAAUAAUGAGUGGUUUUGAGUAAAGGAGGGAUUUUAGGAAAAACAUGUUUUCAGCGGGCUUUGUGGCAUUAAUUUUUUGAGGAACAAACAAUAGUUUCUAACAGAUGCGAACUGUUUUCUCUUAAAAAAUUAUUUUAACUAUUAGUUACUUGUUUGACUAUUUGAAAAUUUCCUGGUGAAGUUCAUGAAGAUUUUUAUUUGGAGGAGUUAUUCAUAAGUUGUACAUAAGGUUUUUGUGAUUUUUUUUUCUUCUAUUCUGAGCUUUAUGGAUACUUUGAAAAAGUUCUUUGAUAAUUCCUUCAAGUAUUUUUUGUGUUGGGAGAAGGGGGUAAUUUUGAUUUUGCAACAACAUUGUGCGAGGCAUGGGAAGCAUAAAGGGCCUUAAUGAUGUGUUAUUUUUUAAAAAUGUUUAUGGCAGGCUUGGUUAGAAAGGAAUGACGUGGGCUUUGAAAUCAGUUUGAUUUAUGGUAUAGGAUUGAAAUUUUCCGAGGCUCAUUGUAAUGACAGUUUGUCUCCUAUCCUCACCAAGUAACAUGUUGGUUGCUAAACUAUUGCCUUUGGAGAUCCCUUGUUCUACUCUUAAGUACUUUCCUUUACGAAGAGGCUUAUAUGAUGAUAUGUAUCUAAAAGUAAAAAUGACAACCGUACAACAUUUAUGGCUUGGAUUUUUCGGGGGCAUCAUUUGGAGUAUUCAGGUGAUUUUGUUGUCCCACAUUUGGCAGUAUGGAAAUGCAAUUCGAAUAUAUGUGUAUUGAUGGUUUCCUAUGUAGGUUUCUUUAUCUUUGGAUCAGAAUAACAUCACUAAGUGAAAUGGCCCCAUUGAUUGGUAGGUUGAUGGUAUUCAUCUGUUUUAUGGAAAUGUAUUACUUGUAGCUUGUCAUUCUGGGAUAUCUCUGUUAAGUUGAGUAACUUCAAAUGGAUUAGUUUCUGGAGAAGCUAUCUCUGCAGUUUUGUUUAUUGUGAUGGAUGGAAUUUUACCUAAAGGCGAAUGCCUGAAAUUGUAGCAUAAGUUCUCGACCUAUUUCAUCAGUUUAUGUAAAGAGCUAGUGUAUUGGUGAAACUAUUACUUGCUGAGAAUGGUAUAGAGGGCAACGUAUCUGUUCUAUGGCUAGAAUAAGUUAAGUAAUGUUUGUCCUCCAAUAUUUCCUAAUACCCAUGGAUCUUAUUAAAUGGGGAUGCCGAGAUUGAAGUUUUCCCAUGGUUACAUGACUUGCAACUGACAAGUAUUAAAGUAAUUGCAGGAUUAUGUCCCAUCUUUUCUUUGUACUUGAUUCUUUUAAUGGAUUAAUGUUAAGAAAAUAGAUAAAAAUAUUUCUUGCUUGGGUUUCUUACCCGACUUUUGGUUUUCACAUGUUUUGGGCCUGAUGGAUCUAAGUCAAACAGUAGAAUCUAUGAUUAAAAAAUAGUUAACUGUGUUACAACAGAGAUUCUGAAUUACUGUGAUUGAUCUCGUGACAUUAGUUGAGGGCACAUUUGGGGUGUUUUGUUCAAGUUUAUCAGAAUGUGAAUAAUACAAUAGGAAAUUCUCUUAUCAGAAGGUCAAAUCUGUCUCUGAAAAUGUAUGAUAUUCUUACAUCUUCAUGUUCCAAGAUAUAACCCAAACUUGCAACUUGCCAAAAAGGUUUUUAAUACUCCAAUCCACCUUUAAUACGAAGUAUUAACUAGUUUAUACUUCGACACCUCAGUGACAUUUUUAAUUAAUUGGUUUGUCUGUGGCUUUGGUUGUAUACUUCACUUUGUUGUUUCCCUUGCUGUGUAAUGGAGAUAGGAGACAUCCAAAUGGAUCUUGUAACUAGUAGUAUAGAUGUUAUUUUUCUGAAGUGGAGGGAUCUGAAUGAUGGUUGUUGCAUCAUAUUUUGUUGGAGCUUGAUGGAUGCAUCCAUGAAAAUAAUCUAGCUUUUUAACGACAGCUCUAUUUUGCUUGUUUUGUAUUAAUAGGAAGUAUGAUGUUAUCUUAACUUUUGUUUGUUUCUCGAGUUUUGUGGCUACAACUUCUGGGAAACUGAUUAUGGCACACCUCCAUGUGUGCAGGGCACAAAAAACUGUGUUCUCACAUUGGGUAUACCAAAAUCGAUUCCUCAAUUUCUAUUACGGAAAAGUUAUUUUUGGGAGAUCCAUCUGUAUUGGAUUGUUCUUUAAUUUAAUGGUUAGGUGUGUAUUUAGUUACUGGAAGGGUAUUUAUACGGUUUAAUUGACAGCCUUUUUGGUUAUUUAGGUGUUUAUUUAGUUACUGGAAGGGUUUAUUUAUACGUUUUUAUUAACAGCCUUUUUGUUAAUCAAGCAAGAUAAUUAGAUUGAUGGACCAUAAACUUAAUGUGAUACCAUGUUUACAAGAUAUUGGUAGAAUAUGUUACGUCUAUAGCUGUUUUAAUCAGUAUAAUUAAGCUCCAUGCUGUGUAGGGGAUCUUGCAGAAGGAAGUGACGUAGAUAUACCUUCCCGUCUCAUAUUUUUUCACUACAUGUUAGUAACUGUAAGUUGUACCUGCUUUACCCUGUGGAAUUUUUUGUAUUGAGUUACAUCCCUCACCUUUAAUUAAUUCCUCUGUUCUUUUUAAUCGUUCCCUUUCUUCUGUGCACAAGAUUCCUUGUCAUGAGGUUGGGAAAGUAAAAUAGAUAGCUAUGAAAGAAAGGUUUAGUUUAGAGAUUUAUAAGGAAAUGGAAGAGUUAUUUCUGAACAUCCGAAAAGGAAUAUGGAAUAAUUGAAUAGAACGGAUUUAACUCCUGAAAAUAGGAGUUUUAUGAACUUUUUUUUUAAGGAGUUUCUUCUGUGUGCUGAAGUGCUGUACAAUAUGUUGCUUACAGUUUCUUUUGUCAUUUUAUUAAGGAGUAUUCUUGCGGGGAAGACGUAUAACCCAUCAACAAGCAUUUAUGUUGAAAUCUUGGUGUUAUGGUUUUGGGAAUUUGGACUUUUGCAGUGUGAUGGUGCAUUAUUUCUUUUUUUGCUCCCAGCAAUUAGUUGCACCACUUGUGCAGGUUAAGAUUACAAAGCUGUGGGUAUAAGCUUGUAUUUAACAGCUAUGGGUUCGAGGGGAAGCGUAAUGGCUAACAUGAAAGGAAGAAACCGAGUCUAUUGCAUUUUGUAGCCUGUUUCAAGGUUUUUUGUUUCGAUUCGAGGAAAAACUAUUUAAGGCAACUCUUUGUAAAGCUUUGGAGUAAAUUGGGUGUAUUCUGAUGCAAGGAUGAGCUUUCUAGAAGAGAUUUUAUACCAUGUCUAGGACUCUAGGGUAAGUAUUAUCACUUAUAUUCGGGUGUACAGCGUGCACAGAGGAUAGUAUAGUAGACGGGAUUUGAUCUUUGAGAAUGGGGAAUUCCGUAAUUUCUGUUACCUCCUACUCAUAACGCGGAAUUACUUUAUGGCUGCCCUUUGUCUAUAGUGUUCCUUGGGAUUUUAGGACUCUUGGUUUAGGCGAAGAGAUGUUAUGCUGAAGUUUAUGAAUGACACCAAAGGGUAUUAUCAGAUUGUUGAUGAGACUCCUAAAGGAGGGUGGCUGUUGAUGACUAAUACAAGUGGAUGUAACUCAAUAUCUGAAAUUAGGAACUCAAUUAAGUCCAUUGACUACUGUUUUGUGGUGGGGAUUAUUGUUCAUCCUUCUUUUAAUUAGUGCCAUUAUCUAUGCAAUCACGUAACUGAGUCCGGUUCCGGUUUCAUAUUGGUUUCAACUGGUGUGUUUGAUUCUUUACAGUGUAAGUUUUUCUUACUCCCAUAUGUAUGAAGAAUGAUCUCUUGUGCUCUUUCUAGAAGUUUUCAUGAAGAAUAUGGAGCAGGGAUGUUCGCAUUUUAUUUACCAACCCGCAAAUCAACUGUUUUUUUCGCUGUUUGGUUUGAUUUAAUUUGUGGUUUCAAAGUGAUUGUGUGAGUUGGUGUGGUAUUCUGAAAAAAAUUAUGCAUUUAUUGUGAAACGGAGGAAGUAGUUCUGAUAAGUUUAAUCUUCCGUGAAGAGUUACUAUCGAAGUCAAGCGAUAUAGUUGUGCCCGAAACAGAGCUUCCACUCACAAUUCUUGAAUCUCAAUCCUGCUAAAAUACUAGUAUGGGUGUCUAGUACUGAGUAUUCUAAUACUGACAUACUAAACUAUAGGAAAAUGUCCUUUUUGUAUCAAGUUCAUGGCAUUCCUAGGAGGGGUUAGCCUUAAAUCGGGCCAAUCGGUUUAAUGCAUCUAACAAUCAUAGUCUGGUUUCAAAUUUUCGGAACACCAAACCAACUCACACAGUCAUAUCUUAAACGGUACCAAUGAUGUCUUGUCCUACUCGUUGACUUGUGUAUGAUAAGUCUCAGGUUCGAAUCUCAUUGCUUCCAUUUGUAAUUUAUAUUUCCUUUGUGGUUCAUUCACCAUCGAAAUAAUAAUAUCAUCUUAAACUGUUAUUUUCGUGGUUUGGUUUGUUUGAGGGGUUAGGUUGUGGUUUUCGUGAUGUUUGGGUUUGUUUUUGGAUGGUUGGGGACGGUGGUUAGGGUUGAUUUAUGGGUAGUGUGGGUUAUUUGAGGUGGCUGGACAAUGUUGGGUUUAUGUUUUGGGUGGUUUUUUUGGGCGUUGGGGUUGGCGUUUCGGGUGGUUGAGGUGAUUUUCGGGUGGUCGUGUUGGCGUUUCGGGUGGUAAUGUUAGUCUUUCAGGUAGUUUUUGGGGUGACGGGAUUGGUGGUUUGGGUAGUUUUUCGGGUUGUUGGGGUGGGGUAUUGUGGUGGUUUAAUUUGUAAGAAGAAGAUUAAAACCAAACCUAUAAAAGUGCUUCUAGAAAAGAAAAAGAAAAUGGUGGCGAACAAAUCACAUGUGGAAGCAAAGGAUUGAAUCCCUUGGUGGGGGAAGAGAAUUUGAAGUAGUCUUUCAAAUGUUAAUUUUAUCCAUCAUUUUAAACAAGAUUAUAUUGUGUAGUUAAUAAGUUCAACUUAAUCCUUACCAUUUUUGAAAACUACUAGUCAAAUCCACCAACACUUAUAAUUAAAGAUUUAAGGAUUAUGUACACGUGUCUUGUCUCAUUCUUUUAAACAACAUACCAUUUUUGGAUAUGCCGUCAUUAUGUUCUUUGGGAUCAAAUUAGAUAUUAAUUAGUAAGAUUUUUAAUAAUUAAUUAAUAAUAAAAUAGUCAUAAUAAUAAUUAUAGCCGUUUAUAGACAAAUUAGUGUGUCAUUUUCGUUGAUAGUAGUUGCAAGUAUAUUUUUCGUGGUAGCCCACUUUACCAUAUUCAUUAUUUUUUAUUUAUUUUUUAUAUUUAUAUCUUUUUUUAAGAAUAAAUUUCUUCGAAAUUGAUAGGUUAAUCUCCAAGAUUUCGACAGACAAGGUAAAAGUAUUUGUCCAUAUCAUAACAUUGUAAUGAAAUGAUGGAGGCAUACUUUGAAAAUUUAGGGCGCUUUUCUUUUUGCCUAACUUGUCUUUUUAUCAAGCAAUAUUUACUUUAGUUAGUACGAUUACUUCUUUUCUUAUCUUAACAAUGAAUUCCUCCGUCUUAUCACUUUACCACAAACAAUGAUAACCUUAUUGAAUCGGGCCCCGAAAUUAAAAAUAUAUUAAAUAAAUAAGGGUGUCGGGCGCGUUCUAUUAAUUUAAUUUUCACUUAUUUUUUAAUUUACCUUAUCUAAACUAGAAUGUACAAAAAGUUGUUUUAGUUUGAAAUUAUACCUGGUUAAUCUUUCUUUUUCCUGAACUUAUCUUCCUAAAGUAUGUGGAAAUUAGGUGAAUAUAAUAGGGCUUAAGUUUAUAUCUUGAAUUGUGAUUGAUGACGAGUAAGAUCGAUAUCUCCGGCCGAGGGAGUACUUAUGAUCCGGCUAAUGUGUAUUGUGCAAGUGUCAAGCAUGUGUACCACCCACGUACGUGCUAGUGUCAACUGUAAGUGGGUACCUAUGAUCUGGCUAUGUGUAAUUUGUAUUGUCCAUGUCGUCAGGAAUCUGCACAAAAUUAUUACGAGGUAGAGACUAGAAAGUGUCACUAGAGAAUUUUACUUCCAUAUUUUGAUUGGAGACAUUGUUUACAAACUUGUCAUUUAUUUAUUAUAAGUCAAGUUGAGCGCCAUUGUUUAAGGGCUACUUGACUUGCCGCCAAUUUUAAAUAGAACAAGAAUCACUAAUUUUAAGUUUCGUUUCUUUA